UACGAGAGCCUCAAGCGUUAUCCGGAAUUACUGGGCGUAAAGGGUGCGUAGGUGGUGAUGCUAGUCGUCCGUGAAAUCCCGGAGCUUAACUUCGGGCCCGCGAGCGAAACGGCAUUACUUGAGAGUGUGAGGGGUGUGCGGAACUCAUGGUGUAGGGGUGAAAUCCGUUGAUAUCAUGGGGAACACCAAAAGCGAAGGCAGCACACUGGCACAUAUCUGACACUGAAGCACGAAAGCGUGGGUAGCGAAUGGG
rnacentral:rRNA from 1 species